GUCCUUUAGAGAAAAUAAUUUAAGGUCUAACCUGCCCACUGAUAGAUUUAAAGGCCGCAGUAAUUUGACUGUGCAAAGGUAGCAUAAUCAUUAGUUUUUUAAUUAAAAGCUUGUAUGAAUGGUUGGACGAGAUAAAAUCUGUCUCUAUUUAAUGAUUAGAAUUUAAUUUUUUAGUUAAAAAGCUUAAAUUAAUAUAAAAGACGAGAAGACCCUAUAGAUCUUUAUAUAAAAUUUUAAGGUUUUAUUUAAGAUUAUUUUAUUAAUUUUAUUNUUUUAUAUUUUAUUGGGGUAAUAAAAAGAUUAAAUUAAUUCUUUUUCAUUUUAUACAAUAAUAAUUGAUUAUUUGAUCCAUUAAUAGUGAUUAUAAGAUUAAGUUACCUUAGGGAUAACAGCGUAAUUUUUUUAGAGAGUUCAUAUCGAUAAAAAAGUUUGCGACCUCGAUGUUGGAUUAAAAAUUAUUUCGGGUGUAGAAGUUCGAAGUUUUGGUCUGUUCGACCAUUAAAUUUUUACAUGAUCUGAGUUCAGACCGGCGUAAGCCAGGUCGGUUUCUAUCUUUAUUAAAUUUAUAUAUUUUAGUACGAAAGGACCAAAUAUUUGAUAUAUUAAUAUUUUUAUUUUGAUUAA
rnacentral:rRNA from 1 species